GACGAACGCUGGCGGCGUGCUUAACACAUGCAAGUCGAACGGAAAGGCCCUGCUUUUGUGGGGUGCUCGAGUGGCGAACGGGUGAGUAACACGUGAGUAACCUGCCCUUGACUUUGGGAUAACUUCAGGAAACUGGGGCUAAUACCGGAUAGGAGCUCGUGCUGCAUGGUGGUGGUUGGAAAGUUUCGGCGGUUGGGGAUGGACUCGCGGCUUAUCAGCUUGUUGGUGGGGUAGUGGCUUACCAAGGCUUUGACGGGUAGCCGGCCUGAGAGGGUGACCGGCCACAUUGGGACUGAGAUACGGCCCAGACUCCUACGGGAGGCAGCAGUGGGGAAUAUUGCACAAUGGGCGGAAGCCUGAUGCAGCAACGCCGCGUGCGGGAUGACGGCCUUCGGGUUGUAAACCGCUUUCGCCUGUGACGAAGCGUGAGUGACGGUAAUGGGUAAAGAAGCACCGGCUAACUACGUG
rnacentral:rRNA from 1 species